GUGAAGAGAAGACGAGAGGAGGGGGAGGAACCUCCAACAAGCCUUACGUAAAGGCCUCCCAUUUGGGUCCCACCUGGUAAUUCCUCCGCUCAGCCAAUCCCGUGUCGACAACAACUUAAAAGCUUGUUUGCUCCCCCCAAAUCCCUCUACUUUGCCUUUAAUCGUAUGAUCAGCGAGACCUCAGACCCGUCCCCGUCUCCAUCUCCUCGCGCUUCCCUCUGAAGCGAUGAGAGCAGGAGAUUAGAGCGCGCUCUUCUACCCCCUUCCUCUCGCUCUUUUACCUUGAUCGGAAGAGAAGGAUGGAAGGGAGAGAGAAGAAGGAACCUUGAUCGCGCUCUUCUGGGAUGGAUUUUGGUGCAGAUUUUGCUGUGGAGGGAGGAUAAAGAUGGAGAUUUUAUGUCAGGAAAUGGUGAGAAUUAUGGAGGAGGAGACGGAUGGUUGACAGAAGAGAGUGAGCACACGGCGGAGGGUAAUGGUAUGAUACGGUGCUGUUUCCGGUGCGUGCUCACUGCUCUUCCUGUCAGCCCUUUUCUUUGCCAUCGUCGUCGUCGUCGUCGUCGUCGUCGUCUCCCGUGGAUUUGGGUUUUCUUGGCGAGGAAUAGGACGAGCUGUAACAAAGAUGAGAUCUUCUAUCUCCAGUAACCGCUCUCUUUUUGAGGUUGUUUGUCGUGUUUGCUGCAGCUUUUAACCCUCUUCUCCGAAAGGAGAGAGCGAAAGGGGAUGAUUUCCGAGGGCGAUCGUGAUGUAAUCUCCUCCUGCUCGUCUCUCUUUCAUCGGAAGCCUUGUUGCCUCGCGCCUUUUGAGGCGGAGAGGUGGGCGACUGUCCGUCUCUCUCCUCGGAUGGGACGGAGUUGGCGAGGAGAGGGUACAUGCCUCGUCUCUGCGUACCGUGCGGACAUAACGGAAACGACUACUCGACUGGUCCUCUCUCUCUCUCUCUCUCUCUGCUGCUACUGUUUUCUUCUUCGUUUUGGCGUAGGGCUUGUUAUCGGCGUCUCGAUGGAUGCUGGCGAUCCAUGAACCCGCAUCGGUUCUCCUUCCUGCUUCUAACCCCAUCCCUGGAAUCAAGAUCGACUUUUGACGACAGAUCUUGAAUCGAACUACGGAGCAAAAAGGAGCGAUCUUUUUUCGCCGACCGCAUCUGGUUUGGUCUCAGAUUUCUAAAUCUGUGCCGUCAUCAUAUUUACGGUGAAGGAACGACAGUGGAUCACCAGAACGAGGCAUUUCGUCGAAAACCUUCUUCAUACUGCGCAGGUAUACCAUUUCAUACUUGAUCUGCAGUCAUUUUUCUUUCAGUAUGUUGCAUGAACUUUUUGGAUAAUUCAUGAAGAAUCAUUAGAAUUUAAGCCUCCUCUUGUAUGAGUGUGACACUUCGAGAUUGUAGAUAUGUCGGUAGAGAGAGAGAGAGAGAGAGAGAGAGAGAGAGACUGAUAUGAUACGGAUAUGGGAAUCAAUUAACAUUUCCUACGGAAAUAGCAUGCUAAAAUGUACUAAAAGAAACCAAAACAAAAAAACAAAAAC